AACGUAGGUGGCAAGCGUUAUCCGGAUUUACUGGGCGUAAAGCGUGUGCAGGCGGUCGUUCAAGUGGUGUAUGAAAUCGCCCGGCUUAACCGGGCGGGGUUAGGCCAGACUGGACGACUGGAGUGCGGGAGAGGGACGUGGAAUUCCGGGUGUAGUGGUGAAAUGCGUAGAGAUCCGGAGGAACCCCAGCGGCGAAGGCGGCGUCCUGGCCCGCAACUGACGCUCAGACACGACAGCAUGGGGAGCGAAC
rnacentral:rRNA from 1 species